rnacentral:rRNA from 1 species
AACAAAAACAUGUCCUUUAGAAUUUAAUUUAAGGUCUGACCUGCCCACUGAUUUAUUGAAUGGCCGCAGUAAUUUGACUGUGCAAAGGUAGCAUAAUCAUUAGUUUUUUAAUUAAAAGCUUGUAUGAAGGGUUGGACGAGGUAAAAUCUGUCUCUAUUUAAUUUAUUUUAGAAUUUAAUUUUUAAGUUAAAAAGCUUAAAUUUAUAUAAAAGACGAGAAGACCCUAUAGAUCUUUAUAUUAUUAUAAAUGAUUUUAAUUAGGAAUAUUUUAUUUUUUAUUUAUAAUAUUAUUUUAUUGGGGUAAUAAAGAGAUUAAAAUAAUUCUUUUUUUAUUUAAUAUUGAUUAAUAGAUAUAUGAUCCAAUAAUUUUGAUUAAAAGAUUAAGUUACCUUAGGGAUAACAGCGUAAUUUUUUUAAAGAGUUCAUAUCGAUAAAAAAGUUUGCGACCUCGAUGUUG